UGCUAAAUGUUCCAAGGUUGUGUAUACUGCCUGCUUUUCAGAUAGGUAAGGCUUGGGACACAUGGACCUAGAUGCUGAAAAGUCAGACUUUAUCUGCACUUCUGUCUGAGUCCUAGGAUCCACAUCUGGUACAUAAUUAAAAUAGAUUACUAACCAGGUUUUUCACCAAAAAUAAAAGUUGCUAAAAGUUCAACAGUGAACAUUAACUAAACUUAAAAGUGUAUUAUAUGAUCUUUUCAUAAAUUGAGCAUUGAAAUAAAAGCACAGCAAAGAGGUCUUAUGACACUAAUCUGUCCUUUAGUAAAAGGGUUAUGAAAGGUUUGUAAAGAUUUCACCUCAUGGUCAAAUUGGUUAAGGUUAGAUGGAAUGAUCUAUAAGGUUUAAUUUAAACAAAUUGGGGUUAAUAUUAAUAAACUAAUGCAAGGGUAAAAUUUGGGUUUGAACAGGAUUUUCAUGUCAUAGUAAAGGCCAACGAACAGUUUUUGCCUUUUAAGUCACCAUUUUGGCAAAAGAAAUAAUGUAUGGCAAUCUGGAAUUCCAUUUCAUAACAUCAAGUGUUUUAAACCUUGAACAUUUAACAGGCAUCCUAAAAUCAGACUUCAAGUUUCAAAAUUGUCCUUCCUGAUGCCUGGCUUUUUGAUGGUUCAGAGGCCCCCUGAAACAUUCAGAAAAGAGAUAAACAGGAUUAUCUGACAUAUUUAAUCACAUGAGAUUGCCAAAAUGAUGUCCAAUCUUAAGUUAUACUUUGCUAAAUAAUACUAAUAUAUUCUGGCCGGGCACAGUGGCUCAAGCCUAUAAUCCUAGUGCUUUGGGAGGCUGAGGCAGGUGGAUCACCUGAGGUCAGGAGUUCAAGACCAGCCUGGCCAACAUGGUGAAACUCCAUCUCAACUAAAAAUACAAAAAAAUUAGCCAGGUGUGGUGGCAGGUGCCUGUAAUCCCAGCUACUUUGGGAGGCUGAGGCAGGAAAAUCACUUGAACCCAGAAGGCAGAGUUUGCAAUGAGCCAAGAUCAUGCCACUGCACUCCAGCCUGAGCAACAAGAGCAAAACUCCAUUUCAUAAAAAUAAUUUUAAAAAAUACUAAUAUAUGUUCCAAAAUUACAUAUGAUUUAUAAAAUUCUGAUGUCUAAGUAUAUGCUAUCAAUCAUAAUUAACAGUAAAGUUAUUGUAAACCACGGAAAUGAAUAAAUUUGUUAAUCAUGUUGUUAACUAUAAAUAUCCUGGAAAUCUUGUCAUUCACAGACAAUUGUUAUCUUGCUUUGUUCCUUCUCAAAAGAUGGUUUAUAAUCAAGCUAUAUUAAAGAAUUUAACAGGCAUUCUCAAAUACAGGUUUUUAAUAGCUUUGAAGAUUGUAACAUUGGAAUAGAGAAAGAAUGUAUGGGACUCAUAAUGAGCUUACAUGUUCACAAAUAUCAAGCAAAACAAGAUUUAACUAGACGGACAGCACUCAGAAGGUUAAAGCAACUUUUUGACUCUUGCUUGGAAUAUUGCUGAUCCUUGUUUUAUUUUUCAGAGUGAAGGAAACUUACUUUGAACUAUUUAUGGCCUUUAAUAAUUGAGUAAGGUAUACUACUGUAAACAAAAUUUGGAGUGUGUUUGUUUUUCUCUGCCUGGUUCCUCUAGAAUUUGGAAACUAUCUGUGAGUACUCUUAACUUAUGGCAAUAUUUGCAUCAGUGCAAUAAGAAAAAUUUGCAUUUUUCUUUGUCAACAGGACACAAUUGAAAAAACUGGUUAUUUUACCAAGGCUUUGACUGAAAGGGUGUGUUUCCCUUUAAGGAAUGAAGCUUGACAUGCAGACCCAAUGAAAGCCCCUUAAGGAGAACUGGCCUCAUACCUUGUCUACACAGUUCCUGCACAAGGUUCCUAAAUUGUGGUCAGUAAAGAAUGUCAUUUUCUAACAGGUCCAGCAGCUCCAAGUUUAUCUUAGACCCUCAAGAGGAGAGGAUUACCCAACUCACAGGUAUUUGAGGAUACAAACCCAUGGCUGGGCUCAGCUUUAAAGAUCUUAUCUGAAAUUCCUUGUGGAACAGAGUUUCAUCAAAGCCAAUCCAAAGGCCUACAUAGAAACAACCAUUCUUGCUGCACUUUAUGCAAAUAAUCAGGCCAAGUAUAAGACUGAAGUUUAUUCUACGAACAACCCACACAGUCCUAUCAUAAUUUGUUUUUACCAAAAAUGAGGACUGGAGAGAGAAAUUGUGCUCCAAAGCUUAUCAAACAUUUGCCAUUAAAUCCUAGUCUCAUUAAUUGUUUUUAAGCUUUUCGCCUACAUUUUAGACUAACCCUGCUUAUUCCUGUGAAUCAAGUGGUGAUCUCCUGCAGCUUGGAAGAAUCAAAGGGGGAUGGUUAACAUAAAAACCUGGAUCAAUAUGCUAGUUCUGGACAAUUCUCCUGCAAAUUCUGCCAGGUAAUGAAAGUGAGUAGGGUGCCCAUAACCCAGAGGUUUCUUUGUUUGGGAAAAUAAAACCAAGGAACUUCGUAGACCUCCCCAAAAGGAAAUUCUAUAUCUUAGGUUAACACCUCUAGUAAAGUAGAGGAAAAUUGUUAGAUAUGAGUUCUAAAUUUCUCUUCAAAGAAUCAAUAUGUCAGUAUGUUCAAUUCUUUGCCUUCUACUUAUAAACUUAACUUCCUCAUAAAGCAACCUUUUUCCAUUACCUGCUCCACCCGGACUCAUUCCGAUUACCUGCUCCUCCCUGACUCAUUCUCCACCCUGACUCAUUCCGAUUUCCUGCUCUGCCAUAACCAUUUUUCCUGCCAAACCACUCACCCCGUCACUCUCUUUAAAUUAGCCAAUUGGAAUUAGUUUAGUCUGUGCGAUCUAACCCUAGCCAAUAGGGAAAUGACACAGCAUCAGGGGCCACGUGCAUCAGGGAUAAGAACCCCUUCCCCUCCUUUGUCCAAGUGUGCGCUCACCAUCGCUCCAUCUGUCAGGGCGUACCCUUCUAUAGAAGUACAUUGCCUUGCAGAGAAUUAAAAAGAAAAUUUUAUAUUUGAGUGCUAUUUCUUUUGUGGCACCGAAACUUUAUAACAAUUUCAGGGCUCACCCUUGAUUACAUUUCCCCCCAGGGGCGGUCUCUGGUUCUCUCUCCUGAGGAGGCGCACCCCGCCCCCUUGUGGUGGCCUCAGGGGUGAGAAAUCAGGACCCACCCAGUGCGAGGAAUAACCGGAGCUCUCUGCAACGCUGAAAGAAACUGGCCAGCAACCUAGCUUAAAGGAUCCUCACAUCUGCGGCGACGACUCUGUGCACAGACCAAGGAAGGAGAAGCCGCCGGAGCCAGUAAAGUACUCCCUUGGUGGUCAAAUUCCGGAGGGCUAAAUGUGUGUGUGCAUGAAUGAUCACAAACAACCCUACCUGCGGUGCUGUUCAUGUGGAUGGUGACAAGACCUACUGCUGGGCAGAAGGUCUUUUAGCACAGGUGCUGCCUUUGGACUUUCCAGUGCCUCAGCAUCAGCCUGGGGAUCAUGUUCUCAUCAAAGAAGGGAAAGAAGGGAAACUCGAGCCAGCCCGGGAAGGACCCUACCUCGUGCUGCUAACCACUGAGACUGCUGUUCGUAAGGUUGGAAAGGGAUGGACACAUCACACAUGAGUCAAGCAAGCACCAUUAUCCUCAGAAUCAUGGGCCAUUGUUCCUGGAUCAAGCCCUACCAAAUUAAAGCUAAGGAAAGCUUAGUCUAUCUAUCUUUUCCUUUCCCUUCCUUACCCAGUGCUUAUAUCCAUUACUAUCCCUACCACUAGCAACUCUAACCCCACUUUAGAACGCUUCUGUGGUUUAGGAGCAGAGGUCACUGGAAAGGAUCCUAUGGGCUUCUUUAAGGUGGGCUUUGUUCUCCCUCCUCCACCUCCUAUGGCUGCCCCUUUCCCAAACCUACAAAAUCAAACUAUGACUCACCUCAUGCCAAAUGACAAAAGCAAGGUCCCGGUAGUAGAAAUAUGAGACCUAAGGCAAACCAUAGCCAUUAAAACAGGGUAUAAAAAUGUAAAUGCCUGGUUAAAAUUGAUUAAAUAUUCUGUCCACAGGUUAAACAAAGGCAAUUUUUAUGCUUGUGCACAUGACAGGCCAGAAGCCCAGACUGUCCCCUUUCCACUAGGGUGGUCCUCUAGUUGACUGGGCAUGGCCUGCAUGGCAGAUCUUCCCCAGGAUUAUUCAGCCUGGGGUAACAAGUCGUGCCAAGCUCUCUCUCUGCUAUAUCCCAAAGUUCAGCACCCUGCGGGUCAGCCCCCAAGGGCCAUCCAGCUUCCAUCUCCCAACACUAAGUUCACUUCCUGUCUCUCAGGACCGGGAGGAAACUUAGCGUUCCUUGGAGACCUGAAGGGAUGCAGUGAGAUUAAGAAAUUUCAAGAGCUUACCAAUUAGCCCUUAUGCAUCCCUGAGCAGAUGUGUAGUGGUAUUAUGAUGGACCUUUACUGGACACUCUGCCGAGUAACUGAAGUGGCACUUGCUUUAGUCCAGUUGGCUAUCCCUUUCACCCUGGCAUUUCAUCAACCAGAGAAAGGAAAAAUAAGAUAUCAUAAAGCAAAAGAAGCCCCUUAUGGGUCUUUUGACUCUCACAUCUAUUUAGACAUAAUUACAGUCCCACAGGGAAUACCAGAUCAAUUUAAAGCCUGAAAUCAAAUAGCUGCAGGAUUUGAGUCAAUAUUUUGGUGGGUGACAAUAAAAUGUAAAUUGGAUAAACUACAUCUAUUACAACCAACAGCCAUCCAUUAACUACACUAGAGAUGCUGUUAAAGGAAUAGCUGAGCAAUUAGGGGCUACUAGCCAGAUGGCUUGGGAAAAAUAGGAUAGCCUUAGACAUGAUAUUAGCAGAAAAAGGAAGAAUUUGCAUCAUAAUUAAAAAUCAAUGUUGUACCUUCAUCCCAAACAACACCGCCCCUAAUGGAAGUAUAACAAAGGCAUUGCAAGGUGUGACUGCUCUAUCCCAUGAGUUAGCCAAUAACUCGGGGUAAAUGACCCCUUUACAGGAUGGCUAGAAAGGUGGCUCAGUAAAUGGAAAAGAAUAAUAGCCCCAAUUCUUACUUCCAUCACAGCCAUCAUAGGUGUGCUUAUUCUUGUCGGGUGUUGUGUCACACUAAGGAAGGAGACCGCUACAACUCCUGCUGCCCUCCUCCCACCACCUUGCCUAGUUCACAAGACAGGACGAAAGAGAGAAAGCAAAAAGCUGGAAAGAAGCAAAAGUAAGAUAAAUAGCCAGACAACCUUGGCACCACCACCUGGCCCUAGGAGUUAAAAAAGUAAUAAUAAUAACAUCAACCCCAGACCUAAACUACUUGUGUUAUCUGUAAAUUCCAGACAUUGUAUGAAAAAGCAUUGCAAAACUUUCUGUUCUGUUAGCUGAUGCAUGUAGCCCCCAGUCACGUUCCCCACGCUUGCUCGAUUUAUCACAACCUUUUCAUGUGGACCCCUUAGAGUUGGAAGCCUUUAAAAAGGCCAAGAAUUUAGUUUUCAGGGAGCUCAGCUCUCAAGAUGCAAGUCUGCCGAUGCUCUCAGCCAAGUAAACCUCUUCCUUCUUUAAUCCAGUGUCUGAGGAGUUUUGUCUGCGUUGGUGCAGAGGCUUAUAAAAACGGCACUUCCUAAAACCUCCCUUAACUAUCCUCCACCUUAUCCAGAGAAGCUUCUUCUUUUGGAAAAUCAAGCAGAACAACUAAGCCAAGACAUGUUAAAGAAGUUUGAAGGGAAAGAGCUGUAAGGAAAUGCAAGAGGAGAGAUUGUUAGAUAUGAGUUCUAAAUUUCUCUUCAAAGAAUCAAUAUGUCAGUAUGUUCCAUUCUUUGCCUUUUACUUGUAAACUUAACUUCCUCGUAAAGCAACCAUUUUCGAUUACCUGCUCCACCCUGACUCAUUCCGAUUACCUGCUCUGCCCUGAAUUCUGAUUUCCUGCUCUGCCAUAACAAUUUUUCCCGCCAAAUCACUCACCCUGUCACUCUCUUUAAAUUAACCAAUUGGCAUUAGUUUAGCCUGUGCGGUCUAACCCUAGCCAAUAGGGGAACAACACAGCAGCAGAGGCCACGUGCAUCAGGGAUAAGAACCCCUUCUCCCUUGUCCAAGUGUGCGCUCGCCAUUGCUCCAUCUAUAAGGGCGCACCCUUCUAUAAAAGUACAUUGCCUUGCUGAGAAUUAAAAAGAAAAUUUUAUA